rnacentral:rRNA from 1 species
CUAAUAACCGGAUAAGAAAAGCGGAUCGCAUGAUCAGCUUUUAAAAAGGACGGCGUAAGCUGUCGCUAUGGGAUGGCCCCGCGGUGCAUUAGCUAGUUGGUAAGGUAAAGGCUUACCAAGGCGAUGAUGCAUAGCCGAGUUGAGAGACUGAUCGGCCACAUUGGGACUGAGACACGGCCCAAACUCCUACGGGAGGCAGCAGAC